UACGGGGGGGGCAAGCGUUGUUCGGAAUUACUGGGCGUAAAGGGCUCGUAGGUGGCCAACUAAGUCAGACGUGAAAUCCCUCGGCUUAACCGGGGAACUGCGUCUGAUACUGGAUGGCUUGAGUUUGGGAGAGGGACGCGGAAUUCCAGGUGUAGCGGUGAAAUGCGCAGAUAUCAGGAGGAACACCGAUGGCGAAGGCAGGUCUCUGGGCCGAUACUGACGCUGAGGAGCGAAAGCGUGGGGAGCGAACAGG
rnacentral:rRNA from 1 species